UUAUGCCAUAUGUUCAUGUUGUUUCCUAGUGAUCCGUGCCUCUUUUGAGGAUGAUCAGUAAGGAUGUUUUGUUAAUAUUGUGGUGCUCUAUCCAUCCAUGUCUUUUUUUACAAUUAUGGAGCAACCUAGCUUGAGUCAAUCGAGCUCUACUUUUGCUAUAAAAUGUUCCUGGCAGAUUGUUAACAUGUUUAGCGAUUUUGCCGAGGUUGUUGUUGUUGAUCCGUGCAUGCUAUGUUGUCGUUCUUGCCAUGUCUAGCUUCCAUGCCAUGUCUUCUUGAUGAGUGUAUGCUUAGAUUGUCAUGCAAUGCUCUGUAGUGAGUGCAUCGAGCUCGUAAACAUGCCUACUUGUCAAUCUGUUUUGCAUGCUCCAGUUUUUCACUAAGUCUGAAUCUAUUUAUGUUUUUGCUAUGUUCACAUCCUUGCAAUUGUAUUUUCUAAUCCCUUUUGGCUGAAGGUCAAUAAGGGACUUUUGUUAUAUGCUUUGAGUAGCUUUAUGCCAUGCCUUGCUUUGCCAUGAUAUGUUCCUGUAGCAUGUAGUUAUCAUGCUCUAAAGAUUGCUUCAUGAUGAUUAAUUCCUGAUAUGUUGUUAAUUCCACUAAGUCUGUAACCUGUUAUCAUUUGCACUUUUGCCAUGCUUGUUUGAGCUUGCUAAUGGAUGAAUUAUCCGUAGCUCAGUGUUCAUCUUUUGUCAAGCAUCAUGAGUGGAUCCCUACCAUAUAUUUUGUUGCUAUGUUUGAGUGUUGUAGCAUAUUUAUCUUGUUGCAUUUAGUUGGUCACUUGCUGAUUAUCGCAGACCGGUGCCAUAUUUGUUUUGCUUGCCAUUUCCAAACCGUGCAUCCGAUUCCGGUGAUCUUUAUAUUGAUUUCAACCGAAAUCAACCCCUCUUUCCAGUGGAACUUAUGGUUCUCCAAGUUGAGGCCAAGUUCAAUCAUUCCUUUCCAAAUCAUGCAUAGGCAUCACAUACCGCAUCCUGCAUAGCAUGCCUUGUUCACGUGUUGGUUGUUUACUAUGUUGUGUGCUUCUUUCCGGUGUUGCUUCUUCGGGUUGGUUCUGAUAACGUCGCAUUUGUGAGGACCCGUUCGACUGCGUCUGUUUGUCCUCUUCAUGGACUCGUUCUUCUUCCUUGCGGGAUUUCAGGCAAGAUGACCAUACCCUCAAAAUCACUUCUAUCUUUGCUUGCUAGUUGCUCGCUCUUUUGCUAUGCCUAUGCUACGAUACCUACCACUUGCUUAUCAUGCCUCCCAUAUUGUUAAGCCAAGCAUCUAACCCACCUUGUCCUAGCAAACCGUUGUUUGGCUAUGUUACCGCUUUGCUCAGCCCCUCUUAUAGCGUUGUUAGUUGCAGGUGAAGAUUGGAGUUUGUUCCUUGUUGGAACAUGGAUAUUUUGUUGGGAUAUCACAAUAUCUCUUAUUUAAUUAAUGCAUCUAUAUACUUGGCAAAGGGUGGAAGGCUCGGCCUUAUGCCUGGUGUUUUGUUCCACUCUUGCCGCCCUAGUUUCCGUCAUAUCGGUGUUAUGUUCCCGGAUUUUGCGUUCCUUACACGGUUAGGUUAUAAUGGGAACCCCUUGACAGUUCGCCUUGAAUAAAACUCCUCCAGCAAUGCCCAACAUUGGUUUUACCAUUCGCCACCUAGCCUCUUUUUCCCUUGGGUUCCGCGGACUCAAGGGUCAUCUUUAUUUAAACCCCCCCGGGCCAGUGCUCCUCUGAGUGUUGGUCCAAACUGAGCUGCCUGUGGGGCCACCUCGGGGAAACUUGAGGGUUGGUUUUACUCGUAGCUAGUCUCAUCUGAGUGUGCCCUGAGAACGAGAUAUGUGCAGCUCCUAUCGGGAUUUGUCGGCACAUUCGGGCGGUGUUGCUGGACUUGUUUUACCAUUGUCGAGGAUGUCUUGUAACCGAGAUGUCGAGUCUGAUCGGAUUGUCUUGGGAGAAGGAAUAUCCUUCGUUGGCCGUGAGAGCUUGUGAUGGGCUAAGUUGGGACUCCCCUGUAGGGAUUUGAACUUUUGAAAGCCGUGCCCGCGGUUAUGGGCAGAUGGGAAUUUGUUAAUGUCCGGUUGUAGAAGACUUAACUUAAUUAAAAUGCACCAACCGCGUGUGUAACCGUGAUGGUCUCUUCUCGGCGGUGUCCGGGAAGUGAACAUGGUGUUGGAGUAAUGUUUGACGUAGGUUGUUCUAGGAUCACUUCUUGAUCAUAGUUGUUCGAACCGUGCUUUUGCCUUCUCUUCUCGCUCUCUUUUGCGAAUAUGUUAGCCACCAUAUAUGCUAGUCACUUGUUGCAGCUCCACAUCAUACCUUUACCUUACCUAUAAGCUUAAAUAGUCUUGAUCGCGAGGGCUUGAGAUUGCUGAGUCCCCGUGACUCACAGAGUACUUCCAAAACCAGAUGCAGGGACCGAUGAUACCGUUCCAGAUGAUAUGACCGAGCUCAAGUGGGAGUUCGAUGAAGACUCUCGUCGUUACUACGUGUCUGUCCCAGAUGAUCAGUAGUGGUGCCCAGUCGGGGCGAUCGAGGCUAUGUUGCAUUUGGGGUUUUAUCUUCAUUUUGGUUUCGUAGUCGGACCUUGAGUGUAUUUGGAUGAAUGUAAUGUUAUAUAUGUAUUUAUGUGACGUGGUGAGUGUAAGCCAGCUAUGUAUCUUUUCCCCUUUAUUUAUUUACAUGGGUUGUUGUGAAGAUUACCUCACUUGCGACAUUGCUUUCAAUGCGGUUAUGCCUCUAAGUCGUGCUUCGACACGUGGGAGAUAUAGCCGCAUCGAGGGCAUUACAAGUUGGUAUCAGAGCCUUCCCCGACCUUCGGAGCCCCCUGCUUGAUCGAAUCGCUCGCGUUGUUGAGUCUAGGAAAAUGUUUUGAGUCAUUUAGGAAUUAUAUAUAUCGGAGAGUUAGGAAUUCUCUUUACUCUUCAGUCCCUUCAUCGCUCUGGUGAGGCAUCCUGACGUAGAGUUUUGACUCUUCUCUUCUCAAAUUUUACUAAAAAAAAUUUAGGAUCACGCGGGUAUCUUGGAAUCGUUCCGAUGGUUUUGUGACGAGAACAUUGUUCUUGGUGCCUCCUGACAUUUAGGGGUUGUGGCAGUGUCCCGGGGAGUUGAGCUCCGAGGUGUUGUUGUCACAAUUUUAUCGUUGAGAUUCUGGAAUACCUGAAUUUUUUGCGCCGACAUCGAAAAUCUCUUUUAUGCAGUUGUUGGUGAGAUAACCUCGACGCCACCCAGUAUUGGGGCGGGAGUUCGGGAGUAUUGCCAUAACUCGUAUAACGGAUGCUUUUCGAAGGUUGAGGUAAAUGAUUUCCGAAGGUUUCUUGGUUAUGUGUUGAAGGAUGGAUACAGCUGGAUGUAGGAUUUGCUAGUUUUGGGUGAGAUAUUAUGCUUCCCCUGUAUCCCCAACACCUGAUUGCAUAACUGGAAAGUUUCGGGAGUUUAUAAGUGGGAAUUCAAGUAGCUCUUAGGAUAUCUUCCCGACAGAUGUAUGAUAUGAAAUUGGGGUUCGACGUCUAGUGGUCCGCCUAUCCACGGUUGGUUUUACAGUGGUCUCGUUGUGUCUUAAAGAGUCCUUGGCUAUGCCGACUCGGGGACGCUUCGUAUGUCAUGUGCACUGCCUUGUACAUGAUGGUGAUGUACGAUCGAGCCCGUGUAGGCCCCACCACGAAAACUUCGGACAAAAUCUCUAUCAUAUGUUUGUUCCGGAUUAUUUUGCAAGCCAAUCCUUGGUUUUGUUUUGAGUGGUGGUAUUCGAGUUGCUUCAAUGUCAAGUGUUGAUCCAAUACCUUCCCUAAACAGUGUUCUCAUACUCCGAUGUGAAUACUAAUCCUUCUCGUCUAUUGAGAUUGUCAUGUCAAUCCUUUUCAACCGGCGUGUUUCUCUACAAGUGGAUCUGAUCAUUCCAACUUUCGCGAGAUCAACUCAAUGUCUUCUCAAUGUUAUUUGCUCAUCCCAAAUUGUCUUUGUUUUUCCCGCCCACCCACCAUUUUUCUUCAAGGACGAAGAUUUCUUUAUCAAGUAUCAUCUAUGGAUGUGAAGCCUCUCCAUUCUUUUCCGUCAAUGUCCUUACCCGAUGUUUCUCAAGAAGAUCCUAACAGAACCUCAAGUUCAUCAUUCUUCAUUCUUUUCCUUCUCCGGUGGAUUCAAUUCAAGCUUUUAGUGUUGAUCGUAUCCCUUUUUCCUCGUUUAAAAUACUUUCUCAUACCGGUGCACCUCAUAAUAAUCCUCUUGCUAUUCUUUUGUUCCAGAGUGCUCAAGAUACCCCGAAGAUUCAUGCUUACACCCUGCUUUCGCUCAAGCUCUUUCGAGGAUGUUAUCUCAUUCAAGCCAUUUAAAUUCAAACCGGUGGAAUCUUCUUUUCAAGCAAUCCUUCAACGGUGUUUCUUUUGAGUGGUCCCUAACCCACAGGUCUUUUCCCAGGAUCUUACCUGACUCUUCUUAUUUCCUGGAGCUAUCCUCAAAUUCUUAUCCAAGAUUGACGUAAGAAUGUUUUGUCAUCAGUCAUAUGUGUCUCUUCAAGAUCUUUCAAUUCUUUUCAUCGUUGGUUCAACCUUUCCAAUUUUCCAUUCCGGACUGCCUCAACAAUUCUUGGUGGUGUUUCUCGUCGUCAUUCUCUGCAUUUGAAGACCGAAGAAGAUUUCUCUCUCAAUCUUGCUCCAUUCUCUUCAAGAUUCGUGAUUCUAGUUUGUUGCCAUCCUCUCAUAAUUUGUUUUGAUUGUGAGAAUUCUUUUCACCUAUCCAGAGCAAUUCAAGAGUCUUCUCAGUUUGUUAUCUAGAGUCCAUCAGUUUAGAUUUAUUCAUUCUCAGCUUUCAGUUGUCAUUCUCCACUCUUACCGGCGCAUCGUUCAAGUGAUCUAUAAUCAGUUCCUGAUCCCUUCGUUCUCAUGUAUCUAGAUUGUCUCAAGUAUCUUCGCUCUUUUAUAAUUCUUCCCGGUGCUUCUUUAUCUUUUCUUCAAUCGUUUUAAAUUCUUAAGGUGGUUCGUUCAAGAGUUUUCUCUUCCUUCUUUAUCAUAUCAAUUUAUUCGUUGUUUCAACCCUUCCGGUGGUUCGUUCAAUACCUUCCCAAGUUGGCGCGAUAUCUAUCUUAAUCCUUUCUUCAAAAAUAAGUAGUAUGCCAAAUCCAUUGUUUGUCAUCAAUUUAAAUUGGUGUAGGAUACGCAUAACGUAAUUCUUAUUCUUGUUUCAUCAAGCGAAUUCAAUUCCUUAUUCCGGAGGUUCAUCAAAAUUCUUGAUUUCUUUUGUUCAUCUUUCUUUUCUGGAGUCCCAAGUUUUUUCUGCUUUAUCUCAUCGCGAAGAUCCAUCUAAUCAUUGCAAGUCUUCACCUCGUGUUUUCAACUUCUCUUUCCUUUUGUUUGAUCAUCCUUUUGUUACCGGAGUUCUUCAUGAAGGUUCUACAUGAUGGUUCAUCAAGGAUUUAAUUCCUUUUUCGAAGUGUUCAUCGAGAUUCUUUUCAAAGGAGCUCAAGCAUUCUUCUUAUUGCAAUCCAGAGUGCAAUUCUUUCUUUCGUAUCAUUGGAGGUGGUAUUAUGUCAUUUAAUUUGAGUUCAUGUUUCAUGGUUCACAUGUUGUCAAGAAUGAGGUAUCUUAAAUCCAUCAAUCUCCUCAUUGAAGUUAUCUUGGGUUAUAUUUCACCUAAAGCUACCCCUAAGGAUUGUUGCUAUUUAUGGUGCUUAUAUAUGAUCCAAGUUCUUCAUCUAUCCUCCCGGUGAAAUAAGUUUCUCGUCUCCUUGUUUAUGUCAAUUCAAUCUGUUGUUUCCGCUAGUGGCAGAAUUUCACCUCAGUUUUGAGAUGUUCCCCAUAAGCCCACUUAAAGCUUAUCCUUUCGUUGUUGUUGUUAAUUCUACGACUCCGUUCUAGCAUUUGUUGUGAGCGUGCUCUGUCAAGACCUUGUUUUUACCUCCAUUCAUGCCAUUCCAUUCUUUCUUUUCUUCCGGAGGCAUUGUGAUGUUGCUCUUUUCAACCCAUCCUCUCGUUUUGUCAUCACGUUCAAUUCCUUCCAUUUCCAACCGGAGUGUUGCCGUAAUUGAUCUUUAUCAUUCCUUGUACAUCUUGUUUCAACUGGAGUGCUUGCAUGUACUUCUUGUCCAUUGAAACCCUUUUCUUAUGUCCGUCAACGUACAAGUUUCCCAUAAUGAUCCUUGUUCCUCUUUUCUAACGGAGGUUUUCAACUUUGUUCAUCUCUGUUCAAUUCUUUUCUCGAAAUGGCUAAACCUUUUUCAAGGUUCUUUGGUCUCAGUCAUUUGUCAAAGGAGCAACUUAGUUUUACCUCUUCUCUUUCUCUUCCAUUUUCCCUCCGGUGGCAUUCUAGAUCUCGGGACGAGAUCCUCUCGUAGUGGUGGAGUGUUGUAAUGCCUCGAGACCGAUGUGACAGGUGUCCUCCAGUUAUUCGAUGUUGUAACCUUGUCAUUGCUUGCGUGUCAUGCAUUCCAUAUCAUGUCAUCAUGUGCAUUUCAUUUGCAUACAUGUUCGUCUCAUGCAUCCGAGCAUUUUCCCCGUUGUCUGUUUUGCAAUCCGGCGCUCCUAUGUCAUCCGGUGCCCCUUUCUACCUCUUUUCAUGUGCGGGUGUUAAACAUUUUCGGAUUGGACUGAGACUUGUCAUGCGGCCUUGGUUUACUAACGGUAGACCGCCUGUCAAAUUUCAUGCCAUUUGGACUUCGUUUGAUACUCCAACGGUUAACCGAGGGACCGAAAAGGCCUCGUGUGUGUUGCAGCCCAACACCCUUCCUAACUGGCCCAAUACCCACCUAAACCCCUUGUAUCUUCUAGAGCGUUUGAUCACGAUCGCGUGGCCGCAAACCGCACCUCAUUUGGAGCUUCCUAGCUCCCUCUACCUCUAUAAAUAGAUCCCCUCCCCAAAAUCACGGGUCUUCUUCCCCCAAAACCCUAAAAAUUCAUCCUCCGCGCCGCCGGACGUGUCUGUUUCGGCCGGACACGCCCGCGCCGGCGACCGCAGCCAGUCUCCAGCCGCCACGUGGCCCACUCGGCGCUCGCCGCCGCCGAGGCCCGGGAGGCCCGCAACCGGCCCCCGAGCCCACUUCGCCCUGCCCGUGCGCAGCGCCCGCCGCCGCCUCCUCCUUCGUCGGUCGAGCCCAUCGCCGGCGAGCUCGCCCGAGGCCGCCACACCACCGCCAAGCGCCUCGCCCCACCUGCCGCUCCAUCCUCAUCGUCCGCGCCUCCGCCGCAUCGUCCCCUCGCCGCGCCAAGUUCCAGCUCCGGCGAGCCCCCUCGCGCCGGCGAGCUUCCUCGAGUCCGGCCACCGCAUCCCCAUCGCCGGCAAGCUCGAGGACGAACCUCGGGAUCCGCGCCCGCCAGAUCCAGAUCUGAAAUCGGUUGACUUUUUCGACCCUAACCCUAAUUUUUAUGCAAUCUUUGACAUGCCAUAACUCUGCAUCUGUAGCUCCGAUUCGUGCGUGUAGCAUAUCGAAAUGUUCGUCUCGAUGGGUACAUCAUUUCAUCUCAUUGCAUCAUUUUCAUUUGAGCUCAUAUUGAUGCCCGAAAUGCUGUUGGAAUAGGGCUAUGUGAGGAAUAUUUCAGAUCUGUUUCAGCAAAUGCCCUUUUGUCAUUUUUGCCAUGAUUAAUGUGUGCAUGCUAUGAUCAUGAGCUCUACAUGUGCUUUGUAGAAUGCCAUGCCAUCUUUACAGGUGUGUAUGCCAUGUAUUUUUGUGAUCUUAGUGGUGACUAGCACAAGCAUGCAAAGCAGUUUACUCAAUGAUGCUGAUUUCAGGGACUUAGAAUUUCACUAAGUCCUUGUCCUGUUAUUGUCUUUAUGUCAUAUGUUCAUGUUGUUUCCUAGUGAUCCGUGUCUCUUUUGAGGAUGAUCAGUAAGGAUGUUUUGUUAAUAUUGUGGUGCUAUAUACAUCCAUGUCUUUGUUUGCAAUUAUGGAGUACGCUAGCUUGAGUCAAUCGAUCUCUACUUUUGCUAUAAAAUGUUCCUGGCAGAUUGUUAACAUGUUUAGCGAUUUUGCCGAGGUUGUUGUUGUUGAUCCGUGCAUGCUAUGU
rnacentral:lncRNA from 1 species